UACGAAGGGGGCUAGCGUUACUCGGAAUUACUGGGCGUAAAGCGUGCGUAGGUGGUUUGUUAAGUCUGAUGUGAAAGCCCUGGCUCAACCUGGGAAUGGCAUUGGAUACUGGCAGGCAAGAGUGCGGUAGAGGGUAGUGGGAUUCCCGGUGUAGCAGUGAAAUGCGUAGAGAUCGGGAGGAACAUCUGUGGCGAAGGCGACUACCUGGACCAGCACUGACACUGAGGCACGAAAGCGUGGGGAGCAAACAGG
rnacentral:rRNA from 1 species